UACGUAGGGUGCGAGCGUUAAUCGGAAUUACUGGGCGUAAAGUGUGCGCAGGCGGCAGAGCAAGUCGAGUGUGAAAGCCCCGGGCUUAACUUGGGAAUUGCGCUCGAAACUACUUUGCUGGAGUGUGGCAGAGGAAGGUGGAAUUCCACGUGUAGCGGUGAAAUGACGUAGAGAUGUGGAGGAACACCAAUGGCGAAGGCAGCCUUCUCGGGUCAAUAGUGACGCCUCAUGCACGAAAGCGUGGGGAGCAAACAGG
rnacentral:rRNA from 1 species